rnacentral:rRNA from 1 species
CCAUCAUUUAAAGAAAGCGUAAUAGCUCACUGGUCGAGUCGGCCUGCGCGGAAGAUGUAACGGGGCUAAACCAUGCACCGAAGCUGCGGCAGCGACACUAUGUGUUGUUGGGUAGGGGAGCGUUCUGUAAGCCUGUGAAGGUGGCCUGUGAGGGUUGCUGGAGGUAUCAGAAGUGCGAAUGCUGACAUAAGUAACGAUAAAGCGGGUGAAAAGCCCGCUCGCCGGAAGACCAAGGGUUCCUGUCCAACGUUAAUCGGGGCAGGGUGAGUCGACCCCUAAGGCGAGGCCGAAAGGCGUAGUCGAUGGGAAACAGGUUAAUAUUCCUGUACUUGGUGUUACUGCGAAGGGGGGACGGAGAAGGCUAUGUUGGCCGGGCGACGGUUGUCCCGGUUUAAGCGUGUAGGCUGGUUUUCCAGGCAAAUCCGGAAAACCAAGGCUGAGGCGUGAUGACGAGGCACUACGGUGCUGAAGUGACAAAUGCCCUGCUUCCAGGAAAAGCCUCUAAGCAUCAGGUAACAUCAAAUCGUACCCCAAACCGACACAGGUGGUCAGGUAGAGAAUACCAAGGCGCUUGAGAGAACUCGGGUGAAGGAACUAGGCAAAAUGGUGCCGUAACUUCGGGAGAAGGCACGCUGAUAUGUAGGUGAAGCGACUUGCUCGUGGAGCUGAAAUCAGUCGAAGAUACCAGCUGGCUGCAACUGUUUAUUAAAAACACAGCACUGUGCAAACACGAAAGUGGACGUAUACGGUGUGACGCCUGCCCGGUGCCGGAAGGUUAAUUGAUGGGGUUAGCGGUAACGCGAAGCUCUUGAUCGAAGCCCCGGUAAACGGCGGCCGUAACUAUAACGGUCCUAAGGUAGCGAAAUUCCUUGUCGGGUAAGUUCCGACCUGCACGAAUGGCGUAAUGAUGGCCAGGCUGUCUCCACCCGAGACUCAGUGAAAUUGAACUCGCUGUGAAGAUGCAGUGUACCCGCGGCAAGACGGAAAGACCCCGUGAACCUUUACUAUAGCUUGACACUGAACAUUGAGCCUUGAUGUGUAGGAUAGGUGGGAGGCUUUGAAGUGUGGACGCCAGUCUGCAUGGAGCCGACCUUGAAAUACCACCCUUUAAUGUUUGAUGUUCUAACGUUGGCCCCUAAUCGGGGUUGCGGACAGUGUCUGGUGGGUAGUUUGACUGGGGCGGUCUCCUCCUAAAGAGUAACGGAGGAGCACGAAGGUUGGCUAAUCCUGGUCGGACAUCAGGAGGUUAGUGCAAUGGCAUAAGCCAGCUUGACUGCGAGCGUGACGGCGCGAGCAGGUGCGAAAGCAGGUCAUAGUGAUCCGGUGGUUCUGAAUGGAAGGGCCAUCGCUCAACGGAUAAAAGGUACUCCGGGGAUAACAGGCUGAUACCGCCCAAGAGUUCAUAUCGACGGCGGUGUUUGGCACCUCGAUGUCGGCUCAUCACAUCCUGGGGCUGAAGUAGGUCCCAAGGGUAUGGCUGUUCGCCAUUUAAAGUGGUACGCGAGCUGGGUUUAGAACGUCGUGAGACAGUUCGGUCCCUAUCUGCCGUGGGCGCUGGAGAACUGAGGGGGGCUGCUCCUAGUACGAGAGGACCGGAGUGGACGCAUCACUGGUGUUCGGGUUGUCAUGCCAAUGGCACUGCCCGGUAGCUAAAUGCGGAAGAGAUAAGUGCUGAAAGCAUCUAAGCACGAAACUUGCCCCGAGAUGAGUUCUCCCUGAGACUUAGAGUCUCCUGAAGGAACGUUGAAGACGACGACGUUGAUAGGCCGGGUGUGUAAGCGCAGCGAUGCGUUGAGCUAACCGGUACUAAUGAACCGUGAGGCUUAACCUUACAACGCCGAAG